rnacentral:rRNA from 1 species
UUACCUACGGGAGGCUGCAGUGGGGAAUUUUGGACAAUGGGGGCAACCCUGAUCCAGCCAUGCCGCGUGCGGGAAGAAGGCCUUCGGGUUGUAAACCGCUUUUAGCCGGGAAGAAAAGGCGUCCACUAACACUGGGCGUUCUUGACGGUACCGGCGGAAUAAGCACCGGCUAACUACGUGCCAGCAGCCGCGGUAAUACGGAGGGUGCGAGCGUUAAUCGGAAUUACUGGGCGUAAAGCGUGCGCAGGCGGUUCGUUAAGUUUGCGGUGAAAGCCCCGGGCUCAACCUGGGAAUGGACGUGGAAACUGGCGGGCUGGAGUGCGGCAGAGGGGGGUGGAAUUCCGCGUGUAGCAGUGAAAUGCGUAGAGAUGCGGAGGAACACCGAUGGCGAAGGCAGCCCCCUGGGCCGACACUGACGCUCAGGCACGAAAGCGUGGGGAGCAAACAGGAUUAGAUACCCUGGUAGUCAA